CCCAGUAAACGGCGGCCGUAACUAUAACGGUCCUAAGGUAGCGAAAUUCCUUGUCGGGUAAGUUCCGACCCGCACGAAAGGCGUAACGAUUUGGGCACUGUCUCAACGAGAGACUCGGUGAAAUCAUAGUACCUGUGAAGAUGCAGGUUACCCGCGACAGGACGGAAAGACCCCGUGGAGCUUUACUGUAGCCUGAUAUUGAAAUUCGGCACAGCUUGUACAGGAUAGGUAGGAGCCUUUGAAACGUGAGCGCUAGCUUACGUGGAGGCGCUGGUGGGAUACUACCCUAGCUGUGUUGGCUUUCUAACCCGCACCACUUAUCGUGGUGGGAGACAGUGUCAGGCGGGCAGUUUGACUGGGGCGGUCGCCUCCUAAAAGGUAACGGAGGCGCUCAAAGGUUCCCUCAGAAUGGUUGGAAAUCAUUCAUAGAGUGUAAAGGCAUAAGGGAGCUUGACUGCGAGACCUACAAGUCGAGCAGGGUCGAAAGACGGACUUAGUGAUCCGGUGGUUCCGCAUGGAAGGGCCAUCGCUCAACGGAUAAAAGCUACCCCGGGGAUAACAGGCUUAUCUCCCCCAAGAGUUCACAUCGACGGGGAGGUUUGGCACCUCGAUGUCGGCUCAUCGCAUCCUGGGGCUGUAGUCGGUCCCAAGGGUUGGGCUGUUCGCCCAUUAAAGCGGUACGCGAGCUGGGUUCAGAACGUCGUGAGACAGUUCGGUCCCUAUCCGUCGUGGGCGUAGGAAAUUUGAGAGGAGCUGUCCUUAGUACGAGAGGACCGGGAUGGACAUACCUCUGGUGUACCAGUUGUCGUGCCAACGGCAUAGCUGGGUAGCUAUGUGUGGACGGGAUAAGUGCUGAAAGCAUCUAAGCAUGAAGCCCCCCUCAAGAUGAGAUUUCCCAACUUCGGUUAUAAGAUCCCUCAAAGAUGAUGAGGUUAAUAGGUUCGAGGUGGAAG
rnacentral:rRNA from 1 species